AUUAUUAUUAUUUUUGGAAAUAAAAAGAGGAAAAAAUACAAAUGAAAAGAGUAUAGGAAUAUUUUUUAUAUGUAUAUAUUUUUUGUACACAUUUAAAAUUUGUUAUGGUCUUAGAUUUUUUAUUCUCUUUUCUUUUCCUUUCCUGAUGUUUAUUUAUGUCCACGUUCUACAUUCAUUAUCGUUUUUUGGUCCUCUUCAGAUAUUCAUAAAAACCGGAAAAUAAGAGUAUUUUGCGUUUUUAUAUUAAAAAUGUCGGUAAUGCACCAUUUUUAUAUAAAUUAGGAUAUAUUCAAUAUCAUUUUUGCCAAGGAUAUAUUCAUGUCUUCUGUGUAUAUCUCUUAAUGGUUCUCCUACUCUUGUUUUGUGUGGUAUAUUCAUAUCUAUAUAUAAUAGCAAACCUAAUUUUGUUCUACUAUGACAUCAGCAUUUUUUAUAGAAAAAAAAAAUUAUAAUCGAACGGCUGAGUUUGUAUUAAUUUGAUGAUCUAAUGGCUAUAGUAUUGUGUUUGUAAAAUAGACUUACGUCAGCAAUUUUUUCGCGAAUCGUUUCUUUUAUCGUCUACUCCCAAGCCACCCUUCGCACAAAUCUUUUACAGUCGCGUCCUUUAACAAGUUGCACCUAUUAACAAGAUUAUAUAUUGAAAUUUAUAGUCUUCCUUUUCACAUCUAAUCAUGGGCAUCAUCAUAAUUCAUCGUCUCAACAUUUAUAUGAUCUUUGAUUUUACUGUCGCCAAAUCUCGUCAGUUAUUUGUUUUAAUCAAUUAUUUGAAUGACUAAGUCUUUGUUUCUACUGGAGUUAUGAGAUAUAUGGGUAGUAAAGUUACGGAUUUGUGUGAUUGAUUGUUCGUUACGAGAGAUUUAAUCGAUUCGGUUUGUGCUGUUGAAUGGAGAUGAUGAUUGAUUUGCUUUUGGUUUGUGUCUGCAGUUCAUAAACAGAGGGAUAUUGUUCCUUUGGAUGUUAACGAUGAUACUAAUGAUUAUUCCGAUGAGGAUGAUGUGCAACCUGUUUUUGAUUUAAAGUUUGGCUUGUAGGGUGUGUGGAUGAUGAUGAAGAUACAGAAGAGGAAGGUCCUGUUCGUUUCGUGAUCUGGAUGCAGCAUCCAGACGCGGCAUCCGAACGCAGUAAUUGGAUGCAGCAAUCAGAUGUUGUUCGUUCGCGAAUCUGAAAUAUUUGGAUUAUGCAUCUGGAAACUGUAUCCGGAUACAGUUAUGUUCGUUUUGUAUUUCUGUAUUUUGUAUCUGGAUGAGUUUUAUAUCAAAUGACCAAAAACUCCUUAUCUUCUCU